rnacentral:rRNA from 1 species
AUUGAACGCUGGCGGCAGGCCUAACACAUGCAAGUCGAACGAGUGGCGGACGGGUGAGUAAUGUAUGGGGAACUGCCCGAUAGAGGGGGAUAACUACUGGAAACAGUAGCUAAUACCGCAUACCAUCGGAUGAACCCAGAUGGGAUUAGCUAGUAGGUGGGGUAACGGCUCACCUAGGCGACGAUCCCUAGCUGGUCUGAGAGGAUGACCAGCCACACUGGAACUGAGACACGGCCCAGACUCCUACGGGAGGCAGCAGUGGGGAAUAUUGCACAAUGGGCGCAAGCCUGAUGCAGCCAUGCCGCGUGUAUGAAGAAGGCCUUAGGGUUGUAAAGUACUUUCAGCGGGGAGGCGUUACCCGCAGAAGAAGCACCGGCUAACUCCGUGCCAGCAGCCGCGGUAAUUC